AGAACACUAUCCAAUUAUAUACCUCACGUAGUGUCUUAAUUAUGUCUCUCUUUCAGGAUGAAGACGGGAACAAGAUGUUAAAUGAAUACAUUCGAGAGUAUAAGAUUGGUCCUGGUAGCUAUGCCAAAGUGGGUCUUUACCAAAGUAGUGUUGAUGGACGACAUUAUGCAAUUAAGCUGUUGACUGUGAAGAUAAUUCUUGAAAGGGACGAUGAAGAUGACGAU